rnacentral:rRNA from 1 species
UACGGAGGAUCCGAGCGUUAUCCGGAUUUAUUGGGUUUAAAGGGAGCGUAGGUGGAUUGUUAAGUCAGUUGUGAAAGUUUGCGGCUCAACCGUAAAAUUGCAGUUGAAACUGGCAGUCUUGAGUACAGUAGAGGUGGGCGGAAUUCGUGGUGUAGCGGUGAAAUGCAUAGAUAUCACGCAGAACCCCGAUUGCGAAGGCAGCAUGCCGGCUUCCGACUGACGCUGAAGCACGAAAGCGUGGGGAUCGAACAGG